AUUAUUGUAUACCUGUCUAUUAUGCAUGUCUUUUGCAUAAAUGUUAUUUUAAAUUGGUGCUUUACAUCUUUUUUUUUAUUGCAUUAGCCAGAACUCUUCCUGAGACACAAUUCUUUUUUAAAAUAAAAUUUCAUAAGGUUACAUUGAUUUGUAAUACAUGUUUUUAACUCCCCAGGUUUUAAAACCAAUCUGAAAUACUGCCUUCCUUUAUUCCCUGUCAUAUGUCAAUGUUUUUCCAAAUGCUUUAUUCUGUAAAAACUAAAAAAAUACAGAAUAAAUAAUUGAGGAUAUCUUAAAAAAAAAUAAUUUGUGGCUCAAAAAAUAAUGUUCAUCUUUUUCCUCAACAGUCCUACACUUUAUGCUGAUCAAUUGACAAAGGAAGUCCUUUGCUUACUGCCUUGAAGAAUGAGGAUAGACGAUAUCAACCUUUUAAAGCAAUAUAAUAGUCAAACCUCUAAUAGGUUCUAAAGAAAUAAUUACUUGUUUGUUUUAGCUACACAAUAUUUGGUGCAUUGCAAGUUUCUAAGGGAGAAAACUUCUGAAGGAACAUUCAAAUUUCAGGGAUCUCCAUGGCCUGUUUAACGAUGGCGCCCCGCCAUCGUUCAAAUGUCUUGUGCCAUCGUCAAAUGACUUGCGCCAUCGUUAAAUUGUCUUGCGCCAUCGUUAAAUUGUCUUCCACAUCGUUCAAAAACUUCAUCGUUUUUUGCAGCCUGACGCCAUUUUUUUUAUCAAUUAUAAUCAAAUGCAUGUAAUUGCAUAACCCUUAGGCUUUUUAU
rnacentral:lncRNA from 1 species